AUACAGAGGGUGCAAGCGUUAAUCGGAAUUACUGGGCGUAAAGCGCGCGUAGGCGGUUUAAUCAGUCGGAUGUGAAAGCCCCGGGCUCAACCCGGGAACUGCAUUCGAAACUGUUAAGCUAGAGUAUGGUAGAGGAUAGUGGAAUUCCUGGUGUAGCGGUGAAAUGCGUAGAUAUCAGGAGGAACAUCAGUGGCGAAGGCGACUAUCUGGACCAAUACUGACGCUGAGGUGCGAAAGCGUGGGGAGCAAACAGGAUUAGAAACCCCAGUAGUCC
rnacentral:rRNA from 1 species